ACNUGCAGUCGAGCGAACUGNNUAGAAGCUUGCUUCUAUGACGUUAGCGGCGGACGGGUGAGUAACACGUGGGCAACCUGCCUGUAAGACUGGGAUAACUUCGGGAAACCGAAGCUAAUACCGGAUAGGAUCUUCUCCUUCAUGGGAGAUGAUUGAAAGAUGGUUUCGGCUAUCACUUACAGAUGGGCCCGCGGUGCAUUAGCUAGUUGGUGAGGUAACGGCUCACCAAGGCAACGAUGCAUAGCCGACCUGAGAGGGUGAUCGGCCACACUGGGACUGAGACACGGCCCAGACUCCUACGGGAGGCAGCAGUAGGGAAUCUUCCGCAAUGGACGAAAGUCUGACGGAGCAACGCCGCGUGAGUGAUGAAGGCUUUCGGGUCGUAAAACUCUGUUGUUAGGGAAGAACAAGUACAAGAGUAACUGCUUGUACCUUGACGGUACCUAACCAGAAAGCCACGGCUAACUACGUGCCAGCAGCCGCGGUAAUACGUAGGUGGCAAGCGUUAUCCGGAAUUAUUGGGCGUAAAGCGCGCGCAGGCGGUUUCUUAAGUCUGAUGUGAAAGCCCACGGCUCAACCGUGGAGGGUCAUUGGAAACUGGGGAACUUGAGUGCAGAAGAGAAAAGCGGAAUUCCACNUGUAGCGGUGAAAUGCGUAGAGAUGUGGNAGGAACACCAGUGGCGAANGCGGCUUUUUGGUCUGUAACUGACGCUGANGNCGCNGAAAGCGUGGGGAGCAAACAGGAUUANNUACCCUGGUANNCCACGCCGUAAACNAUGAGUGCUAANNGUUAGANGGGNUUCCNCCCU
rnacentral:rRNA from 1 species